rnacentral:rRNA from 1 species
GGGUUGUUAGUGGCGAACGGGUGAGUAAUACGUGAGUAACCUGCCCUCUUCUUUGGGAUAAGCUCUGGAAACGGGGUGUAAUACUGGAUAUUCCUGUCUGGACGCAUGUUUGGGUGGGGAAAGGUUUUUCUGGUGGGGGAUGGGCUCUCGGCCUAUCAGCUUGUUGGUGGGGUGAUGGCCUACCAAGGCGUCGACGGGUAGCCGGCCUGAGAGGGUGACCGGUCACACUGGGACUGAGAUACGGCCCAG